GGAAAAGCUGCUCUGCACAACUGCAUGCGAUGAGACAUUGUGCGGGGC
rnacentral:ncRNA from 1 species